rnacentral:rRNA from 1 species
UGGGGAAUAUUGCACAAUGGGGGAAACCCUGAUGCAGCGACGCCGCGUGAACGAAGAAGGUAUUCGUAUCGUAAAGUUCUGUCCUAUGGGAAGAUAAUGACAGUACCAUAGAAGAAAGCUCCGGCUAAAUACGUGCCAGCAGCCGCGGUAAUACGUAUGGAGCGAGCGUUGUCCGGAAUUAUUGGGCGUAAAGGGUACGCAGGCGGUUUAAUAAGUCGAAUGUUAAAGAUCGGGGCUCAACCCCGUAAAGCAUUGGAAACUGAUAAACUUGAGUGGUGGAGAGGAAGGUGGAAUUCCUAGUGUAGUGGUGAAAUACGUAGAUAUUAGGAAGAAUACCAGUAGCGAAGGCGACUUUCUGGACACAAACUGACGCUGAGGUACGAAAGCGUGGGGAGCAAACAGG